rnacentral:rRNA from 1 species
UACGGAGGGUGCAAGCGUUAUCCGGAUUUACUGGGUUUAAAGGGUGUGUAGGCGGAAAUUUAAGUCAGUGGUGAAACCCUUAGGCUCAACCAAAGGACUGCCAUUGAUACUGGAUUUCUUGAAUACGAUUGAAGUAGGCGGAAUAUAACAUGUAGCGGUGAAAUGCUUAGAUAUGUUAUAGAACACCAAUUGCGAAGGCAGCUUACUAAGUCGUGAUUGACGCUGAGACACGAAAGCGUGGGGAUCAAACAGG